UACAGAGGUCUCAAGCGUUGUUCGGAUUCAUUGGGCGUAAAGGGUGCGUAGGCGGUGCGGUAAGUCGGGUGUGAAAUCUCGGGGCUUAACUCCGAAACUGCAUUCGAUACUACCGUGCUUGAGGACUGGAGAGGAGACUGGAAUUUACGGUGUAGCGGUGAAAUGCGUAGAUAUCGUAAGGAAGACCAGUGGCGAAGGCGGGUCUCUGGGCCGAUACUGACGCUGAGGAGCGAAAGCGUGGGGAGCGAACAGG
rnacentral:rRNA from 1 species